rnacentral:lncRNA from 1 species
GGAAAAAUUGCUGCAGAGAUUAUUAGAGAACAUUUUCUGCUCCUAAUGUGUCUCUUCUGUUAACUUUCCUGGAUAAGGGGAUAAGGAGGCUGCCCAGUCUAGGAAAUCUUGGGGUUCCACUGUCUUUAAGGCAGUGAUAUUGGUGUCUCUUCUGAUAUUUUACUUCUCAGGAUGGUUCAGAGUCCAGCCGCCUCCAAGCCCUAGCAGUAAAGAAGAUACAUGCUGUUCAAGGAGGCUUUGCCUUGAGGCAUGUGUUAUAAAUUACUCUUAAGAAUCGAAUUUCGCCCUUUUCCUUAGAUGUCAUAAGAAUGAGAAUCUUAAAACCCGGAAAAAUUAUCAAUCAUCAGUAAACAUGAGAAUUAUUUUCAUUUGAUCAAAAGGCAAGCUAAUGAUGGUUUUCUUCCAGCCCACUCUUGGACACCACAGGUUGGGCUGGCUGCCUGAACGUGCACCUGAUUUUCAACUCAGAGACCCGUGCUCCAAAGGGUAUCAGAAGAGGGAAUUUCCACAAAGAAGUUGGUCAUCAAAUCAUGGUGAAAUGUACUUCCCAGCACCAAAAGACUGGAAGGGCAAACGUAUGGUGUAAUCUCGUUUUGUGAAAGGAAGGAGGAAAAGGAAACGAAGAAGCAAAGAAGAAACAUCAUAUAUGUGUGUACAUAUUUGUAGAAACUUGAAAAGUGAUGUAGAAGUCGACAAUCUAUGAUGCAGACGGUGCUUGCCUUGAGAGGAGUUUGGUGCAACGAGGACUGGCAGGGAGGUGAUUAACUUUUUCUUUAUGUAUCUCUGUAUUUUUGACUUGUUACAAGAAUAUAUUAAAUGCAUUUUUACAAGUUCAAUUCCAUUCUGUAGCAUUGUUUUAUAGUGAUCGGAUGAAAAUUAUUUAACUAUUUUUGACAUGAACACAUGCAAAUCCUCCUAAAGUUAAAUUUAUUCACUUAUUCUCUGCAAGACAUACUUCUACUUUAAGCUUAGAAUCAGUAUCAUUUAUGGCUAACAGUGUGGAUUCCAAAGGCAGAUUUCCUGGUUGCAAAUUGGGGCUCUCCCUCCUACUGGCUAUAUGACCUUGAGCAAAGUACAAAACCCUUGUGAGCCUUGAUUUUUUAGCUUGUAUAAUGGAAAUGAUAAUAGUUCUACUUCACAGGACUGCUCAGGAGAUUUAAUGAAUCAGAUAUGUAGUGCAUUUAGAAUAGUGUCUGGC